rnacentral:piRNA from 1 species
UGCUCAGCUCUGAGACCUAUUCACUCCUGC